AGGACGGACGCUGGCGGCGCGCUUAACACAUGCAAGUCGAACGAGAAAGUGGUAGCAAUACCAUGAGUAAAGUGGCGCACGGGUGAGUAACACGUGACUAACCUACCCUUGAGUGGGGGAUAACUGAGGGAAACCUUAGCUAAUACCGCAUAAUACCCACGGGUCAAAGGAGCAAUUCGCUCGAGGAGGGGGUCGCGGCCGAUUAGUUAGUUGGCGGGGUAAUGGCCCACCAAGACGAUGAUCGGUA
rnacentral:rRNA from 1 species